rnacentral:lncRNA from 1 species
AUGAAACAAAAGUUGCUUUCAAAGAUCAUGAAAAUGAAAAAGAGAUCAAUACAGGAUUGAGAAGAAAAUACAGAAUCUAAAUGAAAGUUGGGCUAGGCAUUACAAAAAAAAGUAGGAUUGACGAGUAGCUAUCAACGUAGAGACAUCUCCAACAUGAGGAUACCACCACCAAGUUGGCAUGAAUAAGCACCCCAAAAAUAGAAAGAGAAAGAGAAAAAGAGAUAAUUUUUUAUUUCAUUUCUUAUGUAUCCACACAAGCUUUAUACAUGCCUAUAUUUAUAAGUCUUCUAACAUAAUAC